UACGUAGGUGGCAAGCGUUGUCCGGAUUUAUUGGGUUUAAAGGGUGCGUAGGCGGUCUAUUAAGUCAGUUGUGAAAUACGGCAGCUCAACUGUCGAGGUGCAAUUGAUACUGAUGGACUUGAGUACUGAUGAGGUAAGCGGAAUGGACGGUGUAGCGGUGAAAUGCUUAGAUAUCGUCCAGAACACCGAUAGCGAAGGCAGCUUACUAAGGAGUAACUGACGCUGAGGCACGAAAGUGUGGGGAGCAAACAGG
rnacentral:rRNA from 1 species